rnacentral:tRNA from 1 species
AGGGAAAUAGCUCAGUGGUGGAGCACAUGCUUAGCAUCCAUGAGGUUCUGGGUUCAAUGCCCAGUACCUCUA